ACUGCAGGAUAGCUCAGUCGGUAGAGCAUGAGACUCUUAAUCUCAGGGUUGGGAGUUCAAGCCCCAUGUUGAGUG